rnacentral:lncRNA from 1 species
GGCCCAUUGUAUGGAAAAUCGAUUAGCAGGAAUUGCCACGCUCUUUGCCUCCCGCUUGAUUGUUGGAAAAUCGAGACAUCCAUAGGCAAAGGCUGGGCUGGGGAAGGUUUGGAACCGAAAUGAAAGGGUUUGCGAGGGAUCUAUAGGCACUAAAUAAUUCACCUGCCAGGCGAUGGUGCUGUUAUUUUGAAGCCUUAAAGAACUUUAGGGAACUUUUUGACUCCCGGCGGGGUGCGUGGAGCCGCUUUCCGGCUCCGUUUCUUCCCUUGCCCGGUAAAACCGGAGGUUUGGCCGGUGCCCGGUGCCUGCUCGNCGUCCCUGCCGUGUCCCCUUCCAUCCUUGCCUUGUCCCUUCCCUGUCUCCUUUCCCAUUUUCCCUCACCAGUGCCCGUCUCUGUCCCUGCCUAUCUAUCCCAACUUCGUUUCCCAUUUUCCUUAUCCUGUCCCCUUCCAUCCUUGCCUUGUCCCUUCCUUGUCUCCUUUCCCAUUUUCCCUCAUCAUCACCGAUACCUGGCUCUGACCCUUCCUGUCUCUUCCUCGUCUCCUUUCCCAUUUUCCCUCACUCUCACCAGUGCCUGGCUCUGUCCCUGCCUAUCUAUCCCAGCUUCAUUUCCCAUUUUCCUUAUCCCGUCCCCUUCCAUCCUUGCCUUGUCCCUUCCCUGUCUCCUUUCCCAUUUUCCCUCAUCAGAGCCUUUCUCUGUCCAUCCCGGCUUCAUUUCCCAUUUUCCCCCAGCCCAGCCUUUCCUGCCCCCAGCGCUGCCUCCCUCGGCUCCUCCCGCAGACCGGGCCAGCCCCGGGAGGGGUUCCCCGGUACCUCGGUACCCCCGUACCCCGGUACCCGGUACCUGUUACAGGGCUGAGCCCCCGGAUCGGACCGGGGCUCGCCCAAGGCCCUCCCUGCCUUUCCUCUGCCCUCGGCAGCGGGGAGAGAAGUGUCCAAAGCCGGGAGAAUCUUAGCGAAAAAGCACAGACGGUUUCUCCCGAGGCAGGUGAAGGAGCCUGAAGAAAUAGGAAAAUAUCUGCGGAAAACACAGAAACACAAGGGGAAAUUAAAAAAAUAUUGUAUGUGCUUAAAAAAUCC